rnacentral:lncRNA from 1 species
UGAUCUGAAUUGUUCUAAGUUGGGGCCUUAGUGCUUCAUACCUGAACAUCCAAGGUCAUUUCCAUCCUUGCUUGGACCCUUUGAGCCCAGUAAAAGCUAUCUGUACUUGCUUGGUGGUAUACGGCUGGGAUUAAACUUAUAUUUAGCUCAGGUAAAUACGUUUAACUUAUUUUCCCUAUACGGGCUUGGGGUACGGUAUAUAAAAUACCGCUUGGUCGGGGAAUUGACCUUAACCAGUUGAUGGUACUAUGCGUAAUAGGCUGGUUUCUCCUAGCAUCAUAUAGAAGUCUCGCAAGCUUAGAUGCCUGAAGUCUGUUGAACAAUGUUUUAUUUUAUUUGCGAUCCGCCUGUGGAUCUUUUACUUUCCGUAUUGUAAUACUUGGAUAUUACUUCAUACCGGAUUGUAAUAUAUUUUUGCUUCCGCUGUGCAUUUAAAUUGUGUGGUUU